GGACGUGAGGACGAUCUGGCUGCGACAUCUGUCACCCCAUUGAUCUCCCGGAUUGAUUUGGAUGUGGCUGGCUGGGCCCGGGUGUCCCCUUCCUCCCUCACCACUUCAUGGCGUCACUCUCGAUGCUGGGCACUCAGAAGAAGAGGGCUCAGUCAAAGAGGACAACCGCCCCUUUCCUCGGUCAAGAGUAGCUGCACUCCCCUGCUAGAGCCUACAAACAAGCUCUCAAGGACAAAUGGCCAGCUUUAUUCAACAAAGGCAUUGCAAAAGAGAAAGAAUGUGAAGACAGAAAAAUAAAGAGACAAAGCAUCUAUUU
rnacentral:snRNA from 1 species